rnacentral:lncRNA from 1 species
CCUUUUAAUGCAUAUUAUAUUAUAAAUAAAACCUGCGCAUGCAUUUAUUGUAUAUAGCAGUACCCUUCUUACAUCAUGAUUAUAUAUUAUAUAAAUUAAGUCCCAUAACACUUAUAUAAUAUAUAUAACAUUGCGCAUAUUUAUAUUAUAUAACAAACUUUAGACGCCUAUAUCUAUAUAGUAUAUAUUUAACCUAACCCUAGACGCACAUAUAUAUUUCUUCAAAUCCGCACGUCUUACUUGUCUUCCAGUCCUGCGUGACCUCGUUUUGAAGUGCAGUACACAAAGUACUCAUCUUGUUCACCACAACAUUGACUAUGUAACCUUCUCCUUGCCUUUAUCUUUGCUAGUCGAUGCUCUUCCGAAUUUUUCAACUUCGCACUAACAAAUACACAUCACAUAAUUGUUUAAAAUAAUUCAGUUCAUUCUCUACUCCACAGCAGCCCACUAUUUACAUGAUUUCUAACAAAUUUUUACUAUGUCAUUAUUUCCCUUUAUUUUUUAACUUUCAACCCUCCUAGCUUACAUAUAUUUGCAAAUCCAAGUUGUUACAAAGAAAAGGGUAAUCCUACUUAACUUUUUUAUUCCACAACCAACCAUUGUUCAUCGUCUUCCUCAAGAGCAAAACUAUUUGGUUUAUAAAUUCCCUUAAAAACUUUAUUAAAUCAGAUCGUAAAACUUUCUAAUAUUAUCAAAUCUCAUUGAAAAUCAUUUAAAAAUAACAUUUCAUAACUUCACCAGCUUCGAUCUAUCAUUUUCAUGAAGCCAAACAUUUAAAAAGAAAAAAACAAAGAUUAUUUAUAUUUCUUAUCUAAACCGUAGAUACUUUAGUCAAAAGCAUUUCAUGCAGAUUUGAUAUGAAAAUAGAUUUUUUACCUUCGAUCUUGCUAUCCUUUGUGACUCUUGAGUGGUCCACUCAAUAACCG